CUACGGGUCGCUCCAGUGGGGAAUUUUGCGCAAUGGGGGCAACCCUGACGCAGCAAUACCGCGUGAGUGAAGAAGGCCUUUGGGUCGUAAAGCUCUUUUCUAAGGGAAGAUAGUGACGGUACCUUAGGAAUAAGCACCGGCUAACUCCGUGCCAGCAGCCGCGGUAAUACGGAGGGUGCGAGCGUUGUUCGGAUUUACUGGGCGUAAAGGGCGCGUAGGCGGCUUAGCAAGUUAAGGGUGAAAUCCCGGGGCUCAACCCCGGAACUGCUCUUAAAACUGCUAAGCUAGAGAUGGUCAGAGGCGGGUGGAAUUCCAGGUGUAGAGGUGAAAUUCGUAGAUAUCUGGAGGAACACCGGUGGCGAAGGCGGCCCGCUGGGGCCAUUCUGACGCUGAUGCGCGAAAGCGUGGGGAGCGAACGGGAUUAGAUACCCUAGUAGUC
rnacentral:rRNA from 1 species